rnacentral:tRNA from 1 species
AGGAUAAUAGUUAAAUCAUUAUAACAUUUAAUUUGCUAUUAAAAAUUAUUUAAUUAAAUUUAUCUUAAAAUUCUUAA